rnacentral:piRNA from 1 species
CAUAGGCUUGACGGUGCUUAUGCUUA